CUCUAUUAGAAGUACCCUCUAGAAGCAAUGAUAGGGAUACUGAAAAGACAUGAAAACAUUGAUCUUUGUCCCUCCUUCCCUCCAUGACUUCCAACCUUUAGUCUGAAAAGGAUGAUGAAAGUCUUGUUACCUUAUGGAUACCAACGUCUUCACUGUGGCUACCAGCAGGAGAGCUGUUACAGCGCUGUUUGAUGGCAACACAGUUGAAGAAAAUGCUUGACACGGAUGUGACCAGAGAACUACAGCAAGAUGUGAAAUACAGGUUAUCCAAAACAAAUGGAAAACAAAGAAUUAAGGAGCAGCCAUUAACACCCACACGACGCCUGAGACAGCCUGGGAUUGUUACAGUGACUGAAUGAGUAUGCAAACAUAAUAACUGCUACAGAACUAACUGGAGGACCAUCUAAUCUGACCUUCUGUCUUCAGCUGAGCUGGUGCCAGCCAUCUCAAAUGAAGACAAAAAAAUCCCUAACACAAAAUUGUGCAAUGCUCUGUUAUAGAAGAAAAUUUUCCCUGACUCCAGCUGUUGCUCAAUUAUGUCCUGAAGCUUGAGGAUUAACAGUUCUGGUGAUUUUUGU
rnacentral:lncRNA from 1 species